UCCUCGAUGGUCUAACGGUCAUGAUUUCCGCUUGUCACUCUGAUGAGAACGAGCGCGGGAGACCAGGGUUCGACUCCCUGUCGGGGAG
rnacentral:tRNA from 1 species